GGGUUUUCAUUUCUCUUUCUUCGCUUUUUUUUUUCUCUCAAUCCUGAUAUACUUUUCGUCCUUCUUUUGAUUUUGAUGGUAGUUUAGCUAAUUCGUUAUUUGAAAUUAAAAGGGUUUGAUCUAUGAUUAUAGGUGGAUCUAUUGCAUGCUUCAAUUUUGAAUUUCAUCAACAAAAUUACCAAGGGAUAAAAUGUCUUCGCAUAAUUUUUAUUGUGCUAUGGGUUUUGGAAAUCCGGUUUCUUCGCAGGAUAAUGUUGAGCAUAAAUUUAAAUGUUCAGAGGAACUAGACAGGCAUAAUAUUAUAUCGAGGUAGUACAAGCAAUGUUAGUCAGUUUUAUGUCAUUAUUUGCAAGAAUCCUCAUGAUUAAUCAAUUGUUCACAAUUGUGGUUUUGGAUCGACAGUUGAAAUAAGAUACACAAAACUUAACGACACGGCUCUACCGAGAGGUUAUGGCUUACCACCAAUACAUUUCACUUCCCUAGUUUUGAAAUAGACUUUACACCAAGGGAUUUCAAAAAAUAUCAUGAAUUUUUAUUGGCCAAGGAAGUCGUAUACAUUGCAACAAAAAGAGCAAAAUAUUUGGAUGAACUUGCUCCCGCAACCAUAGAUUGUUUGCUCCCUUACAUUGAUGCGGAUUUGAAAGAGAAAGGGAAACAAGAAGAGGGAAAUGGUGAAGAAGUUGAACAAUGAGAAGAACAAAUAGAAGAGGAACAAGAAGGGAAACGACAACGUAAAGACUGCGAUCACAAGUAGUUUCAUCCUCUAACAUAGAUCUUUUGAGAAAGAAACUUCUCCAACGAAUCCAAGGGAUUGGGAUUAGUAUGAUAAAAUUGUUUCUUAAGAAUAGAAAAUGAAAACAUAAUCAUAUUGCGUGUCAGGAACAAAUGGCAAGGUGGUUUUUGAUGCGGGUUGUGGGGAAUGUACUUUUCCCAACCAAGAACGAUGUUGUUUUAUAAACUUGGCUACCGAUAUUUAAGGAUUUGAAUAUAAUCCGUACUUACGAUUGGAGUUCAACUAUUUAUGGUCAUAUGUUAUGGAGCUUGAAUAUGGGAGUUCAGAUCAAACCCGGUGAUCUCCUUUUCUUUGUUGCCUAUAAAUGUCCUGGUUUUGGGCGUAUUUCCGAUGCAUAUUCCCAAUAUAUUAGAGAUUUAUCUGGAUGAUUUGGAUCCUUUGUCGGCGGGUAAGUUAUAUGUUGAUAACCAAAGAGACAAAGAAAUAGGUAAUAAACAUGACACCGGUGCCCAUUCCAUAACAACGGUUCAUAAUCAAAUUGACAACUACUCUAUCUAUCAAGUAACAUGGAUGUUAUAGUUGGAUAGUCGAUGGGAAAAUAAGGAAGAUGUGGUACUUGCAAGAAAAAUCUCUAAAACACGUAGAGUCUUUUUUGAUCUGUCUGCAUGCCAACAACCCCUUGUACUUUGGAGAACGGUGUCUCAGACAAAUUGGUGAAAUUACAGUAAUACCGGUCAAUCCACCUGAUGUAUUAGUAAACAUCACUACCUAGUACUUGUACAACGAUCCUAAUCGUAAUUUCUUGCAUUUUAGUGAGGUGACUGCAUUUGAAUAUAUGGAGUGCUGGAGUCGAAGAUUUGUUAGAAAGUACUCGAAAAUAGUUGAACAUGAAGGAAAUAGAUAUAUGUAUAGUUCUCAAGAUCCUAAUGCCUAUAUUCAUCUCCCACCACCCAUUAGGGAAUCCACAUAUACAAAUAAGUUGUUACUGAUAGAUCAUUGUUUCUUCUCUAGUGUACUAGAUCCUACUAUCAGAUUUACCAACGAGAGUGGUAGGCCAGUCAAGAGACAUAUUGGAAAUGAGUAUUUGAGUGCAGUUCAUAGACCCAGUUGUAUUGGCAAUUGAGGAAAUGUGGUGUCAAUUGGCUGAGGUACAACGAUGGUACGCUGACGCUGCAAAUCAAAUCACAUUGGACUAUAUAAAAGGGUUGUAACAUCAACUCCGACCCGAAGAAGAACUUCCACGACAUAUAUCUUUUUUCAAGAAAUAUGUGUUAGUAUAUACACGUGAGUCAUCGUCUACCCGGGGCUACUCUCGUGACUCAUGUGCAUCAUCAGGUUCUUGUUUAAUUACCAAACAUGAUGAUGACCCAUUCUACCAUCCUCAAAAUGAGUCUCAAUAUCCCCAUCUUCGUUUAUAUUGAUGUAGCUUAUAAUGGUGAGAUCCGAAUUUUUUAAAGAUAUACAAGAAACCCUUUAGUCGCGAUGAAGAAUUUGGGACUGGUCCUAGUAUAGAUCCUCGUAGGGAAUCAGUCAUAUAACAGAUACUUUGAUUCCUUUCAACUACGAAACAAGUUUCGCAAGUCUACUUCCUUAACUCAUGUAGUUAUAUAUAGUUUUCUAGGCAUGAAAUCAAUCAAAGUUCAACACACCAACUAAUAACGAAUUAUAAAGAUAGUGUUAUGCCACAUUUACGAAGUUCAAAAGAUAAACUUUAUACUUCGUAAUCCAAUAUACCAAAGUUGUAUGAAACAAAUUGACACUUUAGUCAUAAUGGAAUGAUCAAGUCACCAUUACUAGAGAUAGAUAAAUAUGUUUCGUAUGUAAUGUUUUCAAUCUAAACGAGUUGACAGAAAUAUGGAUAGCAAUGGAAACAAGUCAAGUAUGUAUUACUAACCUCGAACAAGAGGAUAAUAUGUGUGUUUAUGCCGAUAUAUCUUCAGGUUUUUCAGAGUACACGAGAUUGUCUCAACAUUUCUAAUGUUUCUAGUCUAACCUAACAGAGUUGACUCUAGUAAUCCAAUCAAGCAACUUCGAGUAUUGAAGCUAAAAUAUGCCAACCAAACUUGACAUACCAACGCUUGAUAAGCUCAACCGAUCAGU